rnacentral:rRNA from 1 species
GGAGGGAGCCGUCGAAGGUGGGGCUGGCGAUUGGGACGAAGUCGUAACAAGGUAGCCGUACCGGAAGGUGCGGCUGGAUCACCUCCUUUCUAAGGAGCA